GAAAACAUGAUUUUUGUGUGUUCUUGGGCCUAUUGGCUCAUUUAGCAGAAAGUUCCUAGCCUCAAAAAAAGGUUUCAAUCCCAAGUUCAAGUUGAAAAAUGUCGAUGUCUUCAUCAGUAAAGAAUGUGUCUGUUCCCUUCUAAAUUCUCAAAAGCUCUCCUCAAGUUAAUCAAGCUCUAAUGUAGACAUAUGAAACAGGAAUAAGUUAAUUUGUCAACAAGAUGAUAAUGGCUCCGUGGGCACUUCCGAAGCCAUGGAAACUCAAAAUAUUAGACAGAGGCUUGGUGUAAGAGUGGAUGGCAACUCAGAGGAAGCGAUUAAUCUCUUGAAUGAUCUGGAGCAUUAAAAAUGUCUAAUGGAAGAAUUUGGCUCAAGGAGCUGGAUUGUAAGGGGAUAUUCCAUAGCAUUAAGUGUCGAUAUUGUGUCUCAUUAGGAGGUGAUUUACUAUACUGUGAUUGUUUUAUCUUGGAAUAUAAGAGCGCUAGGGUCGAAAGUAAAGCAGAGGGCAGUGAGUAGGUUGAUUAGGAAGAUGAAUAUUCUGCUGCUCUUUCAAGAAUCUAAAAUGGGCAAUGUUAUACCAAGUUUCCUUAAAGGUAUGUGGCGCUCUACUAAUUUUGAUUUUCAUUUUGUUGAAUUUAUUGGGAGAUCGGGUGGAAUCAUUUCAAGCUAGGACACUCAAUGUUUCUCUCUGAACAAAGAAUUCUUGGAUGGGAAUUGGAUUGCUAUUGAAGGUACUAUAUGUGAAAAGAAUGUGGAAUGUGUUAUCAUUAAUGUGUAUGCCCCCUGUGACAAAGCUUCCCAAUUAAUGCUAUGGAAUGAUUUGUCUGCUUUCAUUAGCUAAAGAAAGGGGUCAUGUAUGUUGAUAGGUAAUUUUAAUGUAAUUUUGGAUGUUAAUGAUCGUUUUCCCCCCUGCUAUAAUUUCCCUUACUAACAAAAUGUUUAAAUCUUUAGUGGAGCACUGUGGUUUGUUUGACUUGCCUCUCAUAGGUAGAAAAUUUUCUUGGGGAAAUAAUGUGAACAUGACUAGAAUCAACUGUUGCUUAGUUGAUGGCUCUUGGCUGAGUUUCUUCCCAGAUUCUAAACUUAAGGGUUUGGCUAAAGGGUGAUCUGAUCAUUACUCCUUAUUCCUGGAAACGGUGAAUGUCAAUUGGGG
rnacentral:misc_RNA from 1 species